rnacentral:misc_RNA from 1 species
GUAGUUCCAUUCCCCCUCCCGAUCCUUCAAAAAUGGCGGCGAUGGUUUCUUCCGCGCUUCCUCCGUCCCCAUGGAGCACGGCCGCUCUCCGCUCAGCCCUCCCACCGACUUCCGCCCUCCGCUUCUCGCCCCAUCGGUCACUCUCAGCGCCGCCCCGGCUGCGCUCCAGUCUCGGCCAGACGACAAAUUUCCUGUGGCCCGUCUCCGGCCUCGUCCGAGUGAAUCCCCUCCUCCAUCUAGGCCUUGGCAGUGGCUCCUAUGAAGACAGGUUCACCACCAUCGACAAUGGAGGUAGAAUUUCCUCAAUGCGGCAUGGAAGACGCGUUCCAAAACUUAACAGGCCUCCCGAUCAGCGAAAAGCCCUACUCCGUGCCCUCACAACACAACUUUU